GGUGUUCCUGGACCCCUCACGAGACUCUUUGUUCAUCGCUAAACCGCGGCAUCGCCAACCUCAUACAGGACCUCAUUCUUCGUCUCGCCCAAACCAGUGAGCGAAUAGUGAACUUCAAGGCCAGGCUCAUCACUUCCAUCAUCUAAGUUCAGCGACCACGCUCAGUUACCACGUCCUAUCACUUGGGGUGCUCUGCAAAGGAACCAGGACAUCGACAA